CCGGUUGAAGAGUUAUCUCAGAGGCCUCAACGGCGAAAACAGCAACGGAUGAUUCAAAGCGAAUUGAUACUUCUCGAGUAUUGAGAGAUGUCGAGACGGAGCUAGGCCUAGCAUUGUAGGCUUCUCUAAUAGCGAUGAUUCUCUCAAAGAAAAGGCAAGAUUCACACGUUAUUGCUGAUAAUAGCUCAGACUGCAUAAAAAAAAGAAAAACUCAAAAUCAGUUUGGGUUUUUAAAACUCUAAUAUCAAGAUUGAAUGAAAAAGAGAGUCAAUAUAUUAUAAUAGCGGACAAUGGAACAAGGAGAGUGACG
rnacentral:lncRNA from 1 species